GACGAACGCUGGCGGCGUGCUUAACACAUGCAAGUCGAACGGAAAGGCCCUGCUUUUGUGGGGUGCUCGAGUGGCGAACGGGUGUGUAACACGUGAGUAACCUGCCCUUGACUUUGUGAUAACUUCUGGAAACUGGGUCUAAUACCGGAUAUGAUCUCCUGCUGCAUGGUGGGGGUUGGAAAGUUUCGGCGGUUGGGGAUGGACUCGCUGCUUAUCAGCUUGUUGGUGGGGUAGUGGCUUACCAAGGCUUUGACGGGUAGGCGGCAUGAGAGGGUGACCGGGCACAUAGGGACUGAGAUACGGACCAGACUGCAACGGGAGGCAGCAGGGGGGAAUAUAGCAAAAUGGGCGGAAGCCGGAUGCAGAAAAGCAGCGUGCGGGAUGACGGCCUGCGGGUUGUAAACCGCUUUAGACUGUGACGAAGAGUGAGUGACGGUAAUGGGUAAAGAAGCACCGGCUAACUACGUG
rnacentral:rRNA from 1 species